GUCGAGAAUUUUUCACAAUGGGCGCAAGCCUGAUGGAGCGACGCCGCGUGGGGGAUGAAUGGCUUCGGCCCGUAAACCCCUGUCAUUCGCGAUCAACCGUUGUUAUUUAAAAGAUGACAGCCUGAUAGUAGCGGAAGAGGAAGGGACGGCUAACUCUGUGCCAGCAGCCGCGGUAAUACAGAGGUCCCAAGCGUUGUUCGGAUUCACUGGGCGUAAAGGGUGCGUAGGUGGUGGCGUAAGUCGGAUGUGAAAUCUCGGAGCUCAACUCCGAAAUGGCAUUGGAAACUGCGUCGCUCGAGGGUCGGAGGGGGGACUGGAAUGCUUGGUGUAGCAGUGAAAUGCGUAGAUAUCAAGCGGAACACCAGUGGCGAAGGCGAGUCCCUGGACGACUCCUGACACUGAGGCACGAAAGCUAGGGGAGCAAACAGGAUUAGAAACCCUGGUAGUCC
rnacentral:rRNA from 1 species